rnacentral:rRNA from 1 species
AUGUUCGCAAUCUUCCCUAUUAUCAUCGUGGGCUGGACCAUGGGCUUGCUCUCCUGGGCUUGGGCUUCUCAAAAGCCACGGAAGGCAACAGCUACAUAUAUAUUCGAGGGAAUUUUUUUUGCGAAUAAUAUAUACGAGGGAAUUGACUACAGACAAGUGGCUCUCAAAGAAAACGACUACAGACAACUCCGUGGAUUAGUAGUUUAUAUAGGACUGCUUCGGCGCGGCCUCCUCGCUUUUGUUUCCUCUUCCUCGUGUUCGUGUUCCUCUGCACCUCUGCCAUGGCUUGAUCCUCUGGAUUAA